CAGUCGCCGCGGUAAUACGAAGGGUGCAAGCGUUAAUCGGAAUUACUGGGCGUAAAGCGUGCGUAGGCGGUGAGUUAAGUCUGCUGUGAAAUCCCCGGGCUCAACCUGGGAAUGGCAGUGGAUACUGGCUCGCUAGAGUGUGUCAGAGGAUGGUGGAAUUCCCGGUGUAGCGGUGAAAUGCGUAGAGAUCGGGAGGAACAUCAGUGGCGAAGGCGGCCCGCUGGACAUGUAUUGACGCUGAGGUGCGAAAGCGUGGGGAGCAAACAGGAUUAGAUACCCCCGUAGUCCCUGUCUCUUAUAC
rnacentral:rRNA from 1 species